UUAAUUGAAGAGUUUGAUCAUGGCUCAGAUUGAACGCUGGCGGCAGGCCUAACACAUGCAAGUCGAGCGGCAGCGGGAAGUAGCUUGCUACUUUGCCGGCGAGCGGCGGACGGGUGAGUAAUGUCUGGGAAACUGCCUGAUGGAGGGGGAUAACUACUGGAAACGGUAGCUAAUACCGCAUGACCUCGCAAGAGCAAAGU
rnacentral:rRNA from 1 species